UUUUGAAACAACUCCGGAUGUUUUAUUUUGUGUUUGUGCUCGACUUCCGGUCCCGCACGAUAUUCUGUGUGCUGAAUCGGACCGUUUGUAGUGUUUCUCGUGUUUCUUGGAGUCAAAAUGAAGAGAAACAAGCGGCACACCACUGAACAAGCACUCGAGAUAAUUCUCAGUGAUAGUGGGACUGACGUCAUCUUGGAAGAUUCGUCUUCUGAAGAGGACUCUGAGCCACAGCCGGACAAUGAUAGUGACUAUCAGUUACCAACGGAAGAAAGUGAUGAGGAAGACGAGGAAGACGAGCCAGGACCCUCAGCGUCGACCCAACCCCCAUCUCGUGGACUCUCCCGCCGUGCAUCAGCUCCGCCUCCCCCUCCCCCGCAGCCAGAGCAAUUCUCACCUUGUGCACAACAAAAGCCCGGGAAAGCUCCAGCCAAGCGUCGCAGAAGUGACCCUGCAGCCACCGAAGGAGAAAGGUGGCACAACAGAGAGGAAAAAGACAGAAAACCAGAGCCUCUCAAAUUUGCACCUGCCCGGGAACCUGGGCCCACAUUCGACAGAACAGCAGCAUGGACCCCUCUUUCACUUUUCCAGCUGUUUUUCAGUGCGUCAGUCAUAAGGACAAUUAUUGACAACACAAAUGCCAAUGCUGCCAAAAGGAUUGGGGCAGGGCUCAAGUUUCGGUGGGCACCUCUAACUGUGAGAGACUUUUACACUUUUCUUUCAAUUAUUGUUUUCUCUGGCCUUGUUGAAGUACAUAACAGAGCGGAUUACUGGAGGAGAAAGUGGCCUUACAACUUUGCCUUCCCCCGGGAGAACAUGUCCCGGGACCGGUUUGAAGCCAUCCUGUGGUCAUUGCACCUCAGUAGUAGUGAGGAUGAUGAGGAGAAUGACCGGAAAAGACAGACUGCUAAUUACGAUCGCCUCUGCAAAAUCAAACCGUUAUACACAGAGAUAGUGGCUGCCUGUAUGGCUCAUUUUCAGCCAUAUAGAAACAUCUGUGUAGAUGAGCGGAUGGUAGCGUCUAAAGCCAGAAUAAGUAUGAAACAGUACAUGAAAGACAAGCCGACAAAGUGGGGGUAUAAACUCUUUGUCCUUGCAGACUCUGCUACUGGAUAUACAUGGAACUUUUCAGUAUAUUCAGGGAAAACUGACAAACCUGAAGGCAGCGCAGGUGGUCAUGGUCUCAGCUACAGUUCAGUAGUGGAUCUUAUGCCAUUUUCUGUUCUUGGUUCGGGCUACACACUGUUUGUGGACAAUUUUUACACCAGCCCUGCUCUCUUUCAGGACCUUCACAGGAAGAACAUUGCCUGCUGUGGGACUAUUCGAAAAAACCUUGUUGGUUUUCCAAAUACAGUUUCCAACGGCUUUCCAAAAAACCCAGACAGGGGAGACAUACGCUGGAUUAGGCGAGAUCCUUUACUUUUUGUCAAGUGGAUGGACACACGGGAGGUGGCAGUGUGUUCCACUCUCCAUGAAGCCUUCAGUGGGAAGACUGUAAAGCGUAAGGUGAAGGAGGCUGGGGUGUGGCAGACAAAAUCAAUCCCUGUCCCAGAUUGCAUUUUGGACUAUAAUGCUAACAUGGGUGGCGUAGAUCUUUCUGAUGCUCUCAUUGGAUACUACAGUGUACACCACAAAAGCAUGAAGUGGUACAAGACAUUUUUCUACCACUUCUUGGACAUUGCUAUUGUGAACAGCAGUGUUGGGACUAACGCGUUAUCGCGUUAUUAGUUACUACCAAAAAAGUAACUUUGGCAGUAACUAAUAAUUAAACGAAUUAUUUUUAAAAUUCAAUAACUCAGUUAUAGUUACUAAACGAUCCGUUUAUUAGUUUAUUUUACGUUAUUUUACUAUCUCGGCUGAGCCUUGUUUACUUCCUGUGUCGGGGGGGCGGGAGAAGAUGAGGCUCGUGCGCUGCGUUGUGGGGGCGUGUUUGAAGAACAUCAUGGCGGAACCCAAGGCAAGUUUCUUCUCGUGGAAGUACGCUCACUACUUCUCCUUCGUUGAGCAGAAGGAAAGAAAUGUUUAUGUUAGAUGCAACUUGUGUCUUGGAACUAAGACCCUCUCUGCAGCAGCAAACAGCAGCUCUAAUCUGUUAAAGCAUCUCGGCACGCAGCAUGCGACGACGAAACUUGUUGCUAAAGCUAGCGGGCCACUCACUGUUGUUCUGGACAUCCUGCAAGGAGAGGACAGCUGUCACUAUGGCACCCUCCUGCCCGCUCUGGAGACAUUGAUGUCAAAGACUUUGGAGGUGAAAGACAGUUUGACUGUGGCAACUGGCCUUCCUGAAGCUGUAGUUGAGGUUCUACAUUACUUGCAAACAGCCGACACCAGCAUGGAGAUUCUCAACCAGUUCCCCAAAAUAAAGGAAAUUUGUCUGAGAAAGAAUGCAGCUCUCCCGUCCAGUGCACCUGUUGAGAGGCUCUUCAGCCUGGGGACUCUGGUGCUGUCUCCAAAGAGGAACAGGCUUUCAGACAAAAGGUUUGAGAAGCUGUUGCUCAUGAGGUACAACCACUGGUUCGUCAAAGAAGAAUAAGGACUGUAAGAAUAACGAGAAUAAGGACUUUUUGUUUUGUUUACACUUACGUUAAACUUAUUAUCCAUGUGAGCUUUUUUGCUCUUUAUUUUGUUUAAGAAUGCACUAAGAAUAAGAAUUUAUUUUGUUACUUGAAAAGAAUCUAUAUGAUGGAACAGUUGUUAUGGUGCUGCUAACCUGAAGAAUCCUAUUUCAAAACUGCUUGAGGAAAGAACAUUUUUUUUCAUUUUAUUAGGCUAUGUUGUGUGUGUUCCUUGUGUGAAGCCAUUUAUGUUGUGUUAUUCUAAAUCAUUCAUGGGCAGCUGGUGGGUUGAUAUUGGAAGAUUGAUUUGUUCACGCAAUUCCAAAACAGUGGCCCCCACCAUCAAAGUUACCAUCCCUGUUCUAACUGGUAACUAAUGUUGUUUGUUACAGUAUAUUCACAGCUAUUUUUCUCCAGCUAUUGUGGCAUGCUAUACCCUACUUUGACCUGUAGGCUGUACUCUGACCUGGCUGCAGAGGUCAACUGAGCUGUAGGGGAGCAAGUUUUCAGA